rnacentral:rRNA from 1 species
UACGUAGGGAGCGCGCGUUGUCCGGAUUCAUUGGGCGUAAAGAGCUCGUAGGCGGCUUGGUAAGUCGGAUGUGAAACCUCCAGGCUCAACCUGGAGUCGCCAUCCGAUACUGCCAUGGCUAGAGUCCGGUAGGGGCCCACGGAAUUCCUGGUGUAGCGGUGAAAUGCGCAGAUAUCAGGAGGAACACCGAUGGCGAAGGCAGUGGGCUGGGCCGGCACUGACGCUGAGGAGCGAAAGCGUGGGGAGCGAACAGG